rnacentral:rRNA from 1 species
UGGGGAAUUUUGGACAAUGGGCGCAAGCCUGAUCCAGCAAUGCCGCGUGCAGGAAGAAGGCCUUCGGGUUGUAAACUGCUUUUGUCAGGGAAGAAAUCCUUUGGGUUAAUACCUCGAAGGGAUGACGGUACCUGAGGAAUAAGCACCGGCUAACUACGUGCCAGCAGCCGCGGUAAUACGUAGGGUGCGAGCGUUAAUCGGAAUUACUGGGCGUAAAGCGUGCGCAGGCGGCUUUGCAAGACAGAGGUGAAAUCCCCGGGCCCAACCUGGGAACUGCCUUUGUGACUGCAAGGCUAGAGUACGGCAGAGGGGGAUGGAAUUCCGCGUGUAGCAGUGAAAUGCGUAGAUAUGCGGAGGAAGCACCGAUGGCGAAGGCAAUCCCCUGGGCCUGUACUGACGCUCAUGCACGAAAGCGUGGGGAGCAAACAGGAUUAGAUACCCUGGUAGUCCACGCCCUAAACGAUGUCAACUGGUUGUUGGACGGCUUGCUGUUCAGUAACGAAGCUAACGCGUGAAGUUGACCGCCUGGGGAGUACGGCCGCAAGGUUGAAACUUAAAUGAAUUGACGGGGUCAUAGCUGUUUCCU